AACUCCAGUGUAGUGUAUAACUCCAGUGUAGUGUAUAACUCCAGUGUAGUAUAUAAUAACUCCAGUGUAGUAUAUAAUAACUCCAGUGUAGUAUAUAAUAACUCCAGUGUAGUUUAUAAUAACUCCAGUGUAGUGUAUAACUCCAGUGUAGUAUAUAAUAACUCCAGUGUAGUUUAUAAUAACUCCAGUGUAGUGUAUAACUCCAGUGUAUUGUAUAAUAACUCCAGUGUAGUGUAUAACUCCAGUGUAGUGUAUAACUCCAGCCCAGUCUGCUGAUAUCGGGUCAUGUUAUCUUCCAUUUUAGUUUUUACUUUCAGGUUGAACAUUAUCGAGAUUAUAUAAAACGGCAUUGUUGGUUGAGGGCUUGUAAGUAAGCAUUUCACGGUAAGAUCUACACCUGUUGUAUUCGGCGCAUGUGACUAAUAAAAUUUGAUUUAAAUAAAGUAAAAUAAUUUCCCUGUUUCCUCUGUGUCUGUGUGUCAGAGAAAGAGAGGGAGAAAGAGAGAGGGAGAGAGAAAGAGAGAGAGAGGAGAAAAAGGAAAGGAGCGAGAAGGAGGAGAGAGAAAGAGGCAGGGGUUGAGUAUGGGUUUUACGUCUUCAGUUUUAAGGGAUGAGUGUGAAAUAAUAUGAGAUGGAAUGCAAUUGUUGUUAUUGUGAUGUGGUCGAAUGAAACAAUGGAGAAAGUAUGAAUCUGUUGUGUUUGUGUUCUGGGAAAUGAAAAGACAUGGCACAAUAAAGGAAGGCAUUUAUUUACAAAUAUCAUUGCAUCUUCAACGCCCUUCUUUCCUUAUGUUAAUAAGUGUGUUGUUAUAAAUGUGUGUUAUGAAUGUGUUAUGAAUGUGUGUAUAGCAUCGUGGAGGAAAGCUGGAAAAUUCAUCUGCAAUAACAUUUCCUGAAGCGUAAAUAUAAAAAGUUGUUGGAUCACGCGGCCCCUCCUCGCUGUGCAUCGGUGGUCCCAGUGGGUCUAGAAACAUUGGUGGUAUUGAUCCACAGUCAAGUCCUAACACCAUCGCCUACUGGUUUGUGUCAGGUGACCUGACAGAGAGUGACCUAACAAGAGAGAGUGGGGGUUCUAUUUAAAUGCUGAGUCUAAAACACACGCAGACAGAAGAGAGGGACUGUGUGUGGUAGAGAUACUUUGCUAAACAUACUGUGGACUAGGAAUAUGCUAAUGAUGUACAUAGGAAUAUAUUAAUGGUGUACAUAGGAACAUGCUAAUGGUGUACAUAUGAAUAUGCUAAUGGUGUACAUAGGAAUAUGCUAAUGGUGUACAUAGGAAUAUGCUAAUGGUGUACAUAGGAAUAUGCUAAUGGUGUACAUAGGAAUAUGCUAGUGGUGUACAUAGGAAUAUGCUAAUGGUGGACAUAGGAAUAUGCUAAUCAGUUGGUCUGUCCUUAUAAUGUCAGGUUAGGGGCGGGGUCAUGCUCUGUGGCUGAGAGAGAGAGAGAGAGAGAUAGAUAGAAAGAGAUCAACAGAAAGAGAUAGUAGCUAGAGAAAGACAGAGAGAGCUAGAUAGAGAAAGAGAGAGAGAUAAACAGAAAUAAAUAGAUAGUAGCUAGAGAGAGAAAUAGAUAAACAGAAAGAGAUAGUAGCUAGAGAAAGAGAGAGAUAAACAGAAAGAGAUAGAUAGUAGCUAGAGAAAGAGAGAGAUAUAUAAACAGAAAGAGAUAGAUACUAGCUAGAGAAAGAGAGAGAUCGAUAAACAGAAAGGGGGAUAGACCUCAGUGACAGAGAGAUAGAUAAACAGAAAGGGGGAUAGACCUCAGUGACAGAGAGAUAGAUAAACAGAAAGGGGGAUAGACCUCAGUGACAGAGAGAGAUAGAUAAACAGAGAGAUUGACCUCAGUGACAGAGAAAGAGAGAUAGAUAAACAGAAAGAGAGAUAGACCUCAGUGACAAAGAGAUAGAUAAACAGAAAGAGAGAUUGACCUCAGUGACAGAGAGAGAGAGAUAAACAGAA
rnacentral:lncRNA from 13 species